GCUCAGAAACUUAAAGGAAUUGACGGGGGCCCGCACAAGCGGUGGAGCAUGUGGUUUAAUUCGAUGAUACGCGAGGAACCUUACCUGGGCUCAAAUGUAUGUUGACGUAUUCUGAAAGGGAUACUUCUUCGGACAAUAUACAAGGUGCUGCAUGGUUGUCGUCAGCUCGUGCCGUGAGGUGUCGGGUUAAGUCCCAUAACGAGCGCAACCCCUAUCAUUAGUUGCCAUCAGGUCAAGCUGGGGACUCUAAUGAAACUGCCUACGCAAGUAGUGAGGAAGGUGGGGAUGACGUCAAAUCAGCACGGCCCUUACGUCCAGGGCUACACACGUGCUACAAUGGCCGGUACAAAGGGCAGCUACCUGGUGACAGGAUGCUAAUCUCAAAAGUCGGUCUCAGUUCGGAUCGGAGUCUGCAACCCGACUCCGUGAAGUUGGAUUCGCUAGUAAUCGCGCAUCAGCCAUGGCGCGGUGAAUACGUUCCCGGGCCUUGU
rnacentral:rRNA from 1 species